GGGGGUGACAUGGUUUCGACAGGGAACCAGGGUGUGAGUGAUGCAUGCCGGAGACGCUGUCUGCUCCGUUAUCAAGCAGCAAACGCAAAUUAACUGCAAACAACAACUACUCUUUAGCUGCAUAAGCGGCUAACGUUCAACCUUUCCGAGCCGCCGGGAGAGGAUUGGGCGUCGAAACAGUGCGGCUGCUCCGCGAGCGAGCGCUCAUAGCUUGCGGCUAAGACCCUGAGCUUGGCUGGCAUGGGUCUGAUUGUCUUUUACCAUGCACAGCCGCGAGCAAAGACAACUAAGCAUUGUAGAUUCGCUCAUGUUCGGUUUUUUGGACGCGGGUUCGAUACCCGCCACCUCCACCA
rnacentral:tmRNA from 1 species